UACGUAGGGUGCGAGCGUUGUCCGGAAUUAUUGGGCGUAAAGGGCGCGUAGGCGGUUUGUUAAGUCGGUCGUGAAAGCCCGGGGCUCAACCCCGGAGGGUCGACCGAUACUGGCAGGCUAGGAGUACAGAAGAGGUAACUGGAAUUCCCGGUGUAGCGGUGAAAUGCGUAGAUAUCUGGAGGAACACCGGUGGCGAAGGCGGCAUCCUGGACUACUACUGACGCUGAGUGAGCGAAAGCCAGGGAGCAAACGGG
rnacentral:rRNA from 1 species